UAUUACGUUAUUGUGAAACAAUUUAUCUCAAAAUUCUGUAAAGGCAAUUGGCAAAUUAUCUAGCUCAUAAAAUCUUGCAAUUUGAUCUAGGAGAACGUAUGCACUCCAGCAAAUGCGUACGGCGGUGCAGUGGGCGUAUUGUGUCGAGUGAUAUCCAGAUGGUCGGCAUUGGUUUCUAAUUUGACGUACUGAAGCCGUCUGGAACAAGAGUGCUAAGAGCCAAGCCAUGGGGAAGAAAAUUCAUUCUCUCUGUUCACAUGACCAGUGUAACAGCCAAAAUAACAAGGGCUUUGUUGUUGUUGCUUAGACGUUUUGAUGUUCGAAUUUUGAUAAGGAUGUAGAUCCUGCCAAUACGGAAGUUCAGCCAAUGUUGUAGCACGACAAGUUGAUGCCCUAGUUACGUCGUGCGGUUCGGGUUAGUUUCACCGAGAUGAGGAAAAGUGACAACAUAACAUCGGUGGCAUUCCCUUCGGACACCGAGUGAUCCCAAGGCAUCAGGUACAUCCAGGAUAUCUGCAAGUACAAUUUAAAAAUUUAUUCUGUUAACCCCUAACGAUCAAUCCAGGACUUGGUUUUCUUGUCUAGUCGUCUAAGGCGGUCUAAGGGUCUAAACGUUACAAUCAGGUUGCAAAAAAUAUUGCAGAGAUAAAUUACUUGCUUUAAAAACAAUAUUUAGUAGCAAAGCUGGGUGCAUAAAACAUGCAUUUUAAUCUAGACAAAUGAGAAUACGAAUUCAUUACUUGGGAAACUGCUACGAAUUGUGAUUAUUCCCCUCGCGCUAUCGGGAGUGCGUGGAACAUCAUUCAGAGAACUACGCUAGUGCCUGAUGACAUCCAUAGGGCUUGUACCAUUUGCCUCGGAAGGUGUAUAAAUGCCUGGUAGUAUUCCAAUGUUUGCUAUCACUUACCGAGUUGAGCUCAGCAACAGCAGAACAGCAAGAAAUCAAUCUUUUCUUUAGAAUGAAACAGCAGACGUAAUUUAACUUUCUUAUUUGAUGUGAAUUGGAAAUAUACUGUAAUUUUCAGUAAUUGCAUGUUGUUCUCUCUUACAGGUUCGCUGUAAUUGUCUUGGUAGUAUUGUGUUCAGUUCAACCUUAGCUUAAAGAAACUGGUGAUGAUAGUUUUGCUCCUCUAAC